rnacentral:rRNA from 1 species
AUUGAACGCUGGCGGCAGGCCUAACACAUGCAAGUCGAACGAGUGGCGGACGGGUGAGUAAUGUCUGGGAAACUGCCCGAUGGAGGGGGAUAACUACUGGAAACGGUAGCUAAUCCCGCAUACCAUCGGAUGUGCCCCGAUGGGAUUGGCUAGUAGGUGGGGUAAAGGCUAACCUAGGCGACGAUCCCUAGCUGGUCUGAGAGGAAGACCAGCCACACUGGAACUGCGACACGGGCCAGACUCCUACGGGAGGCAGCAGUGGGGAAUAUUGCACAAUGGGCGCAAGCCUGAUGCAGCCAUGCCGCGUGUAUGAAGAAGGCCUUCUGGUUGUAAAGUACUUUCAGCGGGGAGGCGUUACCCGCAGAAGAAGCACCGGCUAACUCCGUGCCAGCAGCCGCGGUAAUUC